rnacentral:rRNA from 1 species
UACGUAGGUGGCAAGCGUUGUCCGGAAUUAUUGGGCGUAAAGCGCGCGCAGGCGGUCCUUUAAGUCUGAUGUGAAAGCCCACGGCUCAACCGUGGAGGGUCAUUGGAAACUGGAGGACUUGAGUGCAGAAGAGAAGAGUGGAAUUCCACGUGUAGCGGUGAAAUGCGUAGAGAUGUGGAGGAACACCAGUGGCGAAGGCGACUCUUUGGUCUGUAACUGACGCUGAGGCGCGGAAAG